GAGACACCCUUCUGGGGCAGGACUUGCUUCAGUGGGGCUUUGGUGCUCACUGAGUCUGCCCUGUGAGUGUCUCU
rnacentral:pre_miRNA from 1 species